GCUAGCCGGCGAGGAUGCGGAGAGAGAGUGAGGGACCUUGAGCCGUUCCGCACGCGUCCUCAGCUCUGUGAGCCCCUCUGGCACCGCGGGGAGACGUGAAAACACACCCAGAUGAAGAGGGGUCUGACUUGUUUGAGAAUGUUGUUUGUCUCUGAAGGAGAGUUCUUUGUCCCAGUUGUUCCUCAGAAGCUCUUACUGUGUCUGGGGUGGCCCUUUCCUGUGUCCUCAUAAUGUCCAGGGCAUGUGAGAGUCUCAGAGAAAAGAGGCAAGGCAUGGAUAAGGGAGACAAGAGAUCCAAACUGAGGCCCUGGCCAUAGAAGAAUCUGAGAGAAGAGGAAGAGAAGCUGGAGAGCCACUGGACACUUCUGCUGGAGUCUGCACACCCCAUAUGAAGUGUCUAUAGAUCAACUGAACCCAAGUCACCUGAGGUCUAACUUUGACUUUGGGUGUAUCCAAAGGUCUCUGGAUCUUCUUGGACUUCAAAUGACUCCAUGAGACUUGAGCAAUCCUUUGUAGAAUUUUCACUCAUGGAGAAAAAAAAUGUGUUCAGGGAACACCUGCUACCUCUCAUCUGGCUCCUCCCCUGCUACGUGGUACCUGGAUGGUCACAGCAAGCCAACCAGAACAUGGGUUCUACUGGUCUGGGACCCACAGUUUGCUUGUUACAUCAGUUUUAAAGUCCUCUGGAGUUGGUUAUUUCAACCUUUGAGGAGAAAUUGAUUGGGAAGUUUUGGAAAGGACCGGACCACUUCAUACUGAAAGGGUCAUCUCACCCCUGGUCAGAGGAGGCUAUUUCUCCUUAACCUGCAAUGGUAGGAAAUACACAUUUGUUCACAUUUGUUUGUACACAACAAACCCCAUUUGUUGUGGCAGCUUGGAUGGAAGGCUCAUGGAUUUGAAUGCUUGCCUUUCAGUUUAUGGCACUGUUUGGGGAGGUCUAGAGAUGUGUGGCCCCGCUGAAUGAAGUAUGUCACUGUCACUGGGAAUGGGCUUUGAGGUUAUGAAGCCUCGUGCUGUUCCCAGUGUUUGCUCUCUCUGCUCCCUGUGGUUCAAGGUGUGAGCUCUCAACUUGCUGCUCCAGCUGUCCGACCACAAUGAUAAUGGAUUCUCAUCUUGGGAACUGCGAGCCCAAAUAAACUCUUCCUUCUGUAAGUCACUUUAGUUAUAGUGUUUUAUCACAGCAACAGAAAAGUACCCAGUAGAGUCAUGAUAUGACUCUGAUCUAUGCCCCGAUAUUGAGAACCUUUGGUAUCCUAGUGAGAUGUCUGACUAAGGAGAUCAAAGAAGGCUUCAGAAUUGAGACUGGUUGCUAGAAAGUCUGUGAUGUGAUUGGUUGAGAACAUCAGCUCCACCUCCAUCAUCUCUGGAAAUGGAAGACAGACUGGGUACGGUACUCUGUCAUAGAAAGGCCUAUAUUUGAUCAAUUACGUCUGUAAUACAACCUCAACUCAUAUCUUUGGGCCAUGCUAAUAUCCCUAAGACUCUGGGUUCCAGCUCCAGCAACAGCAAACCCCAAACAAACCAUCACUCACUGAGCCCCAGAAGAGAAGACGGUUCCAUCCAGUGAGGUUUGAGAGCUUCUGGAUUUAACACAGCCGUGUUUAGAGAGGGAUCCACUUUGAAUCCACAACCAGACGGUUCUGUGCUCAGGAUAUGUCAGAGCUUUUCCUAUGUGCCUGACAAUGUGUAUUCAUUUUUUAAAAGGUUUGUUUGUUUGUUUGUUUAUUGUGUGUAUACACAUACCAACCCCAGUUCAUGCCAUGGCAUGUGUGCAGAGGUCAAAGGACAACUUAUUGGAGUCUAUUCUUUCCUAUAACAUGGAUUCCCAAUGACUAGACUCAGGUCUCCAGGCUUGGUAGUGAUAAUUUCUAGUCAUCUACCCACUCUGCCACCAACAAUUGGUAUAGUAAAGGAUGGUGUUUCCUUUCAUUAUGAACCAUUUUUAAAAAAAAUCAAAUUAUUAUACUUAGGGAGUUCAUGAGAACCCUCGAUUUUUAGCUGGUCAGCAGAACUACAGGAGGCACUUGUAGUUGGUGUCUGGAGGAGAGUUUAGACUUGGGGGGACCGAGCCCUCUCCCUGUGGCAUCUGCUCUGAAUAUGGGAAAAUAGUGGCCAAGUUAAGGGGGUGAUAGGAGACACAGCUAGAGAGUUUGAGAAGUGGAGGGUGUGAGGAAAAAUGAGUUUAUGUCCCAGGUAUUGUGGGUAAAAGUAGAUCCUCUUACUCCACAGUCCUGUGUCAUUUUGCCACUUCUAGGUCCAUGUUCUUUCCCACAAAACUUUCUUCCUUUUUUUUUGAAUCUCCAACCUAGAAGCAGAUUUAACAACUGGAAGAAUUUAUGUCAAUUUAUUAGCAAGGAGAGACAGCCAAGCACACAGGAAGUCCAGUCAGCCAUGAGCUCAAGGGGGAAUGCGGUUUAGCUAGGUGGGCAAGUCAAGUGAAGAGAAGAUUCCAAACUGGGAGAGAUACUGGGGUGGCAAGGAGGAAGGCCUGCUCAAGGGACUAAAACACGGUCCAUGGUGGGGUAUGAUGACCAUGAGAGAAGUGAGAUGACUAUGGGGUAGGGUGGGGGAGGGGAGCAGGAAUAACCCCAGAUAAGGGUUAUAGAGAUGUACCUGGAAAAGAAUGGAUGCCAGGAUGAGUGUGGACAGCUUGCGAGUGCUUGAGUGCUGAGUGAUGGCUAAGUCAGACGUAGGAGACAGGGCCUGGUUCCUACCUAGCAAGGAAAUGGGUAGAUACAAAGGUCAGAGUUCACACAGGGGCUUGGGACAGUGACAAAGCCGUGGCAACAGAUGCAUGCAAGUGAUGGACAAAAGAAGUGGAGAUCUCACAGGGAAAAGGACAGGGAGAAGGGGACAAUAUAGCAAGGAGGCACCUAGUGACACAUGACAAUUCUAGGUAGCAGCCUCUGUUUGAUGGCCUUAAUUGUGGCUGUGUACAAUAUACCAAAUCUGAGUGGGGCAGGAGACUCUUUGGUCAUUCAUCUGGUGCCGGAGAGAGGAGUUAUGUAAAUGGAACAUGGAGCAGAAAAUCCUUCUGAAAUGGAAUGAGCAACAGAGAUAUGGCCUCUUCCAUGUUUUGGAGAAUUCUGCUGUGGUUAAAAAGAACAACUUUCAAAACAUGGUUAUAGAAAUUACAGCACAAUUUCAAUUUAUUUUUAAUUUGGAAAGAAUUUCAAACUGAGAGAAAAAAGUAAAACUGUAAAUGUAUCUUUAAGUAUAUAUCUGUAAAAUUAAAAUUAUAUGUGUAACCAUC
ensembl:antisense Gm26633 predicted gene, 26633